AGAUAAACGUCAUACCAAUUUCUCAACAGAAGAAAUAGCCAUGUUUACAACGACCUCUGACAGCAAAACGAAAAAUGUAUAUAACGGACACUCUGAGAGUGGACAUUUGAACUCUGGUUUGAACACAGAAGUUAUUAGAAUUUUGGCAGCAGCGGGUGUCACGGUUUUUAUUGUAAUUAAUUUGUCUUUCUGCGUUUAUUGGAAAUAUAACCCGCGUCAGAUUGAAAUCAACAAUCCUGCUGAUGGAAUCGACAUUACUACCCCUCAUCAAAAUAGGGCUAUGGCUGCGAGCGUUUCAAAUAUGUAUGACGACGAAGACACUAAUUUUAAUUACCACGAAAUAUCAGAAAUACAGACACCAAAUACAGAUAUUGUCACACGAUCAAAUACUUUCAUCAGAGAAGCUAACGAUGAAAAUGAACCAACGUUCGUAAACAGUGAACUAGCUCGUCAGAUGAUCAGCAGAACAGAAAUGAGUUUAACAAGUUCUGGGACUGGGGACACGCUCAA